UUUUUACAGCCUUCAAGGUCAUACUCCACCUGUGCUUGCACAAAGGUGGAGUAAUGACCUUAGAAGGCGCCCCAAAAUGAGUAAUAUCGUGAAACAACAGUUUCACGAUAUACGAAUUUUGGGGGCACAGAUUGCUUUGGCAAUCUGUGUAAAAA
rnacentral:sRNA from 1 species